rnacentral:lncRNA from 1 species
AUGCCCCCCAGUCGCGCCUCGGCCCCUGCUGCCCGUCGCUGCUGGCCGUGUGCCCAGAAUCCGAGGGAGCUACUCCAGGUUCCUGUGAAUUAUGCAGGCCACACCCCUGCGGGCAACGCAGGGCCUUGGGAGCCUCUGAGGGAAACCAAACCCUGGGGUCUCCCCUCGCCCAUCCUGCAGCACAAAGGGUGUGUGUCCAGCAGGGGACGCCAGCCCGGGGGCAGGAAGCCGCGUGACUACAGGGCGGAGUUUCUGGAGAGUCCCCAUUCCUCUGUGUCAUGUGCUGAGGCCUCUGAAAACCAUUCAGAUCUUCGCACCUGCCUUCUGAAGUGAGAGGGCAGGCUGAACGUCAGAUGUGAAGGGGAAGAAGAGACCUUUGCCAAGGCUGUGUCCCAGGAAGGGUCCUCUCCCCUGCAGGCCCCCAAGGCCUGGGGCAGGGCACUUUUCAAAGAGAACUUGCUGCCCCCGCAUCCUCUCAGAGGCCUCCCCUGGCUCCUCAGAGAAAAUCAAGACAGCUCUGGGCGGCCCCAGUGUGGACCACAGUCAGACCCUGUCUGCGGGGCACACCCCAGGGAGGGCUCUGUUCAGAGGGACUGGUGGGGACGGUGGUCCGGGAGGUUCGGGGCGCCUGCUGUGUUGACUCAGGUCACAGAAGAGCUUGAGAGAAGUGAGCCCGCUUGGCACCUGGCUCUCCUCCCGCCUGGAGCUGGUGACAUGGGCUUGGGCCACUGGGACCCCCUCCUGUCUUGGCAGGCCUCAGUCCCUCUGCCCCGACCUGGGAUCAGUCCCCACCGAGGGCCCCGCCCUGCUGCUCCUGCCCUGGGUGCCACGCCCAGCCUUUCUCCAACCACUCCUCCUGUGGCUCAGCUGGUUCCCAGGAGCCAGCCCAGCUCUGGCGGGCCCAUGUUCAUCUUUGGAGAGAGUGCAGACGAGGAGCCGAAGCUUUGGGAAGAGGCUGAAGCCGCAGGCUCUUUUGGCCAAACGCAGUGAUUUCCCUGGAGCGCACUCAGCCCUGUCCUGAUUCUGCUGCAGCACCGGUGAGGCUGGGGCAGGUCGGGCCUCAGUCACAGGAGCCCCGGGCCGGCGGGGGUCUGUCGACCUUGCAUCCGACAGAGCAAGCGGAGGGGGGGUGCCUUUGGCUUUCACCCCUCGGUGAGGGCCUGGGCUGGAGAGGCUCAAAGAGGAGGAGCUGCUUUCCUUGUCUUCUCAUAAAGAGAACGGGAUUUGGCCAAGGAGGUUCCUGCAGGUGUCUGCAGAACAAAGGGGGAGGAGAGAGGCCAGAGGCCUCCGUGGGGCCCGGAGUGAAUGCCGUCCCUGUGAGGCUGGUCUGGGCCAGGCCGUGCCCAGAGGCGGGGCGGGAGGGCAUGGGCGCUCUCCUUGCUGCAACCGCUCGACGGGCAGGGAAGCUGGAGCGGGGAGCACACCUGGUCAGGCGUCACCUGGGCUGCCGCUCAAGGCUCGGUCCGCAGGCUCUGCCCACGUGUCCCAGGCAGCGCACCGCCUGUCACCACAGCGAUGGCACAGAGGUGUGAUGAAAGCCAUCUGCCGUCGUAAAGCACGACAUCGCUUUUCUGCUAAGCCAAGCCUAGGGCUCAGCCAAGAAACGGCCUAUAAAAUCCCAAAUAAUGACCUCACGGCAUACUUUCCAAUGUAAAGACCAUUCUGGGCAGCUGUUUCCAGAUUCUUUAGGUUAAGCCACUUUACACCCUGGCUUUUACCAUGUUCGCCAUCUGACCCUACCAAACGCUGUCCCGCAAGCCGUCUCAGGAUGCAGGCCCCGUCCUUCUGGGUGACAUGUGGCAAGGCUGUGCUCCUGAGCCAUUUGCCCGCAGACGCCCCGGCAGGCUGGGCCAGAAACACCCGUGGCCUCCACGGUCUCCAGAGUGCCAGGAAGGAGGUUCCGGGCUCUGUUCUGUAUCUGUUUCCAUGGUAACAAAGAGAACACAGGUUUUGUCUGGUCUGGACAUAAGGCCCUAAUUCAGGGGGUUGCCCCUGGAGAGAGCUGUGGGAGGCCCCUCUGGCCAGGUCCCCCCGACUCUAGAGGAGUCAUGGGAUCUUCACAAGCUGGGUGGGGUCCUCAAACGUGGCUCGUCACUGGAAGCAUGGCUGAGGCAGCCAGCAGUGUGUUGGACGGUGCCGUCAGGGUGGACCUGAAGCUGGAGGGGCGUCAGGGGACCCCAGGAGGACCGGCACCCCACCAUGUCAGCAGGAGGUGUCUGCUCUAGAGCCAGAAAGUUGACAGCUCUGAUUAAGAAGUUUUGCUGUAAUUUAUUCUCUCACUUGAAUCUUGCAUUUGCCUUUAAAUAUCAAAUCUUAUUUGUCUGAUAUUUUCAUUCUAAUCAGUAAGCCUGUAAAUUACAUUCAUGCAUAAAAUAAUGAUGUUUGUUGAACACCUUUUUACAAAAUGCCUGCUUCUAAAAUUAUUCCCCUACACCCAGGAAAACACAGAAAAGCGUCACUGGUAACUUGGAGACAAAAUUAUCUAGUCCGUCUUCUCAGUUUUGGCUUUUGACAUUCAGAUUAGCAGUGGACAACCAGUAAAGUCCCUCGGCCGUCGCAGGGAAAGGGACGACUCAGUGAAUAAUGUCUUUAGUUACCGGGCCCUCCUCCUGCCCGGAUCUCCCAAACUGGGGGCCACGGCCUGGAUGACGCAGGGCCCCAGUACCCGAGUGUGCCUUUCGGCUUGGGUUGAAGGCGCCUCCACUGUGGUGCCUGGUUGUUCCCAGGACGGAGCACUGUGCUGUUGCUGGUGCCGCAGCCGGCCGACCCGGCAAGCAGCGUCCAGCCCCAGACCCACAAACCAGCCCUGGAGCUCCUGGGGGAGCGUCUCUGCCCCGGCGCCCAGACGCUCCGCCAGACCCGAGUCCUCCUCCUCCACCUGCAGGUCUCCACCCUCGGGGCGCGCCCCGGGCCACGGAGAUCUCACACAGUUCUGAGCACCCCGCCUUCCCCCACCCCCCCAUCCCAGAGGCCCGGCUUUCUCCUCUUUUCCGCAGAUUCCAGGCGUUUUCCCUCUCCCACUGGCCUUUUCAGAGAAAUACCUCUUGUGUUACAACAUCUGCCGUCCCCACUGUUUGCUUUCUACGGCAUUUGGUCUCGGUUUGUUCUGC